rnacentral:rRNA from 1 species
CCUGGUAGUCCAUGCCGUAAACGUUGGGCACUAGGUGUGGGGGACAUUCCACGUUUUCCGCGCCGUAGCUAACGCAUUAAGUGCCCCGCCUGGGGAGUACGGCCGCAAGGCUAAAACUCAAAGGAAUUGACGGGGGCCCGCACAAGCGGCGGAGCAUGCGGAUUAAUUCGAUGCAACGCGAAGAACCUUACCAAGGCUUGACAUGGACUGGAAAUACCUGGAAACAGGUGCCCCGCUUGCGGCCGGUUCACAGGUGGUGCAUGGUUGUCGUCAGCUCGUGUCGUGAGAUGUUGGGUUAAGUCCCGCAACGAGCGCAACCCUCGUUCUAUGUUGCCAGCGCGUUAUGGCG